AUUGUGUGCUUGCCCAAUGUUAAAUGGUGAUCUGUUCUGACCACCAUUCCUUAGAUGUACAUUUGCUGACUGCUGACAAUAUGUGGUUCUGUGUGAAAGGUGCCUUCAGUAUUGCUGUUUGGUGCAUGAUAUAAUGUGAUCCUUUCAUGUUAGGCUCACAUUUUUAUUGCAUCUUGGUUCUAGUAUAUAUAGACCUUCCUUUUUUUUUUAUUGAUAAUGUUACGUUUGAGCCCCUUUGUUGUCUUCUUGCAAACAAGCAUUCUCUUCACAUUCUGUCACUUUAUGUUUGUUUACAAUUCAGAAAAGCUUUUCUUAGUGAAAAUAUGUGUGAACUUCAUAAACUAUGUCAUUUAUCAAUUACAUGUGAAAUUAUUGAGCAAAUCAAUGUGAUUGACCAGCCAUGUUGUGUUUGAUAUGAUCUGGAAUCACUAAAAUUUAUUGAAUUAGGAAAAAGGUCAUCAGUAGCAUUAGUAUUAUGUUGCUUCAUUUCUUCAUAUCAUAAUUACAGUUUUAUUUUUAAAGGAACACCGAUAACCUGUGACGUUUUACUUGUGCAGCAUCAAGGCAUUCAAGCGAUCCAGCAACUGCCAAGGGUGAGAAUUCACAGCAGAAAUGCCUACACCGGUGUAACUUCUGUGACUAUAAUACUGACAAACUCUUUAAUCCUAAAGUACAAAUCAGGGUCCUACAGUAUCGGGGCGUUCGAGCCGUCCAGCAGCUACUGAGAACGAGAAGUCUCAGCAGGGACGCCUUCACCGUUGUCAUCUCUGUGACUAUGUGACUGAAAA
rnacentral:misc_RNA from 1 species